CUCUCUGCGGGCUGGUUCCAGCGACAAGGGAUACUCUAUACCCUGCGUCCAAACCGGUCUUGAGGCCGCUUCCUCGGGAGUAAGAGCCUGGAACCGGUUUCUAAGGCUCGGCGUUCAAACGGGGCGGGUGGCGAGGAAGGGAAGGAAGGAGGGAAGGUGGCGGGAAGAGGAGGAGGAGGGAAGGAAGGAAAGAAGGAAGGAGAGAAGGGGAGGCGGUGAAGGUAGACGAGAGCGGGUGAGCCGCGCCCCUCCUUUCUCCCUCCGACUUGGUGGUUUUGGGGACCUUGCAGGGAAUCCCACGCCUUUUUGCCGGCAUGGAGAGCGGGCCAGCGAAGGAGACCAAAGCGGGAUUGAAACGGAGGUAGAGGCGCUGGUGAGCUUUUCUGCCCAGGCCAUUCCAAUAAGUCCUGUGUGAAAGAGCCCCCUUUUACAUUAUUUUAGAGUCAAACUCCCGUGGAGUGCCAAGGAAGGCGAUUCCCAUGAAAUCAAAUCAGUGGGAAUCUGGCACAUUGAGCCAUUAGCCUUGUUCGCGGGAUGGAGCUGUUCCAGCCCAGCAAACCCAUCUCGGAAUGUGUUUCCACACCUGCCAAGCGGUACCGUGAGAUUUCAUGGACCCAAGGACGUGGGAGCGGCCAGGAAAUCCGUUUCUGUUUCUGUUCGGCACGUGAAGGAAAAGGUGCCACGCUUGAACGCGGCUUCCUCGAGAAUCAACCCACGGAACUUCUUUCCGAAGAAACAGAAGAAACCUCACAACCUCUGAGGA